AAAUUGUCUUCGAGCCCCCGUUCCUGUGGCGAACGCUAUGGAGCCUGGGCCGCGCCGGAGCAUCCGGUUCAGGGUAAGGCUGGAAACGGCCCUGCCUUCCGCAUUUGAAAAGGAGAC
rnacentral:ncRNA from 1 species